rnacentral:rRNA from 1 species
UUUUGAGAAUAAUUUAAAGUCUAAUCUGCCCCCUGAUUGUAAAAUUAAAGGGCUGCAGUAUUUUGACUGUACAAAGGUAGCAUAAUCAAUAGUCUCUUAAUUGGUGACUUGUAUGAAAGAUUUGAUGAAAUAUAAACUGUCUCUAUUAAAUUUAUAAAAUUUAAUUUUUUAGUUAAAAAGCUAAGAUUUUUUUAAAAGACGAGAAGACCCUAUAGAGUUUUAUAAUUUAUUUAUUUUUAAUUUUGUUUAAAUAUUAAAAUUAUAAAUAAAUAAAUUAUUUUAUUGGGGUGAUAGAAAAAUUUAAUAAACUUUUUUUAAAAAUUUUACAUUAAUCUAUGAUUAUAUGAUCCGUAAAUUACGAUUAAAAGAUUAAAUUACCUUAGGGAUAACAGCGUAAUUUUUUUUUUUAGUUCAAAUAAGAAAAAGAGUUUGCGACCUCGAUGUUGGAUUAAGAUAAAAUUUAUAAUGCAAAAGUUUAAAAUUUUUGAUCUG